GACGUAGGGCGCGAGCGUUGUCCGGAUUUAUUGGGCGUAAAGAGCUCGUAGGCGGCUUGUCGCAUCGACUGUGAAACCCGCGGCUCAACUGCGGGCCUGCAGCCGAUACGGGCAGGCUAGAGUUCGGUAGGGGAGACUGGAAUUCCUGGUGUAGCGGUGAAAUGCGCAGAUAUCAGGAGGAACACCGGUGGCGAAGGCGGUUCUCUGGGCAUUACCCUGACGUGAGGAGCGAAAAGUGUGGGGAGCGAACAGG
rnacentral:rRNA from 1 species